rnacentral:lncRNA from 1 species
AUUUUUAUGGGUUGUCCUAAGUGUUCAUGCAUAUUAUUUUUUCACAUGAACUCCACAAAUAGUUGGAGAAAAAAAUAUCUUCCUGGUAUUUUAUUAGAGUUGCACGAAAUGUCAACAUCAUAAUCCAGAACAAGCAAUGUCAUUUCAUUUUUGCACAUCUUCCUUUUUGUCUUCCAGGAGAUGCUAACCAUUUUCCUUAUAUGGUUUUUAAAUCAUCUUCCCUUAGUAUUACAUAGAGGAGUGUCAUUAUUUUAAAGGCUAAUUCUGAUCGCUUCAUUAUUUGGCUUCUUUGUAGGUAUCUUUGUAUUGUGCAUAUUUUUUCUUGAUUUUAGAUCAUUUGAUCUUGAGUCCUAGUAUGCCAGUUAAUUUUUUACAUUCAAUGUAAGUUAUUAUGUGUGAUAAAAUAUAAAGAUAACUUGAAGCUUUUGCAUCUGGCUUAUAAUCUAGGGAGAGAUCCCUUUAAUUCAGACACAGUUUGGGCUUAUUAGAGGCUUAAUUUCAGUCUUUCAGAUAGCUGGUCCAUCUUUGGUGCGUUCCUACAAUACUGUAGAUUACACACCUGCAAAGUAGAUUAUUUUACCAAGGCCAAACAUCUUGACUAGUCCUAAACUCCAAUUUCCGUCUCCUUUGCUUCAUAAGAAUGCUGAAAUCUCUGCUGAUAUUCUUAGCUUUCUGGCCAUCACUUGUGAACUUAUAAAUGCCUGUGGAGGAAUAACAGUGCCAAAUGUUGGACUCAUUUCUUUGUGUUUCUCUUUUCUCUGGGAUUUUGAGCCUUCAAAUUCUAACUUUAUUGAUGACUUUCAGUUGCCUUCAAAAAGAUUUUUUUUGAAACACCAUUGCUUUUUGAAAUAGGUGUAGUUUCACAGGAUGUUACCAAAAUAGUACAGAGAGGUACAGUAUGCCCUUCACCCAAUUUUCUGCAAUAUUUACAUUUUACAUAGUUAAAUGACAAAAUCAAAAUCAGGAUAUGAACGUUGGUAAAAUAAGUGUGCAUAGUUCUUAUACCAUUGUGUCCAGUGUGUAUAUGCAUGAAAUACCAUUGCAAUCAAAAUACAGAGUUCCAUAUUUUUAAAAAACUACCUUAAGUACCUUAUUCAGCUUUUCCAUUGGUUCUUAGAAGGUUGAUCUAAUCCCAGCUAUAUCAUCAUGGGCCAAAGCAGAUCUUCUAAAAUUAGCUUUAUAAUAUUUAUUUUUCAUAUUUUAUAUUAGGAACUUUUCUGACAUUUUUCUAACUCUGAGAUGAUGUAUAUUGUGUAAAAGUUUAAGAUGGAGUUUGAAUAAUUCUCUUUUGCUUCCCUAUAGUGCCUAGUGGGGAGCCGGAUAAGUAGUAGAAAGGAAAAACAUAAUUAUUUAAUGAUAUUUAACAGUAAGCUUCUUUCUGUAGUCAUAGCUACAAAAAAUGUCUUUAUGGCACUGCAUGUAAGCUGUAAUCAUCAUUUCUAGUUUACCUACACGGCAGAAAUGUAGUUUAACUUAUUGUGUUGGUAGAGUCAAGCCAAUUGAAUCAUGAUUGGCUUGUUCUUGAACGAUUUUUAUAUCUCCAUAUACACACACCUAAAGGGUUUCAAAAUGUCUCUAAAACCACAAAAUUUAAGUCACAUUGUGGACUAAGCUCCUGUAUCACUGUGGAAAAACUUAAAUUUCAUCAUGUGAGCAUGUACUGGUGAAUACAUGUUAGUGGCUACUCAGCAGAGCAAUGCUGCUUAUUGAAACAUACUUCAGGAAAUACAUGGUGUUAUAAGUGCACAUAAUGGUUAAAAUGUGGAAAGUAAUAUUUCCGGUGGAAAAUGUCACCAAUAGCCAUGUGGUUAGUCCAGGGAACCAGUUUGUUAGAAUUGUCUAGCUAUAAGAAUAUUAGAGUUUAAUUCCAUGACUUUGUAUAAUGGAAGGGAAACUAUAAGGAGGGGGAAGGCAGAAAGAAAUUAGACAAAGCACAGGGUAAGAAAAUCAGUUCAAAGGCAUAUUAUCUAAUGUACCAAGUCUUGGGAUUUCAUAUAUUUUUAAAUGGGAUUGUCAAAUAAAGAGAAAUCUGGACUACUUAGAUAAGAAGAAGCUUUAUUCAGAAGAAAUACUAUUACAAUAGGAAUAAUGCUCUGAUGUUAGAAAUCUGCAAGCGUCCCAAAAGCAAAUAGAAAAGGAUUUUAUUUUAUAGAGAGGGGUAAGCAAUAAUUAUGGGGAAGUCAGGCAAAUGAGAGGAAAUAAUCAGAGGGGUCUGACAGGGAGUGUGUUCUACUGUGAUCAACUGCUCUCGGGAUAAUGUGAUUAAGGGAAUAUUUUCAGCCUUUUAGAGUUUUCUCAGGCUGAGAGCAAGCAGAGUUCAGGAGCCUGUAAGGAAAAUAGAAGCCUGACUAAAGUUAGGUCAAGACAAAGCAGAAGGUAAGCAAUUGAAAAUUGUGGCCACCUGGUCAACAGCCAACAGUACGCAAGGAUGCUCUGUUACUAAAGGCUUUCUAGUGGACAAUAAAUGGCCCCUUGUUAGUUAUGCUAUGGGAGAAAGUUAUUUAUUUUUAAUAUAGUGAUAAUUUUACCUAGGUGACUUCAAAAAUUUAUUCUAACUUGAAGAACAAUUUGUUUUAUGAUUCAGUAAGGGUUAGUAUUUCUACAAAAAAAGACAGAGGCUGCCUUAAUGUACAUUCCUGGACAAUAAGAUUUGCUGAUCAUCUAAUCAUUUUAUAUAGCACCUUUCAAUAAAAUUUAGUAAAAUUCUUUAAAAGCAAGCUUUGCAACCAUCAUUUUGUAGAUUUUGUAAAUGACUUAUUCAGAAUUAGGCAUUUCAGAAUAUUUAUUAUUUCAGACUGAACAGAAUUGCUGUCUGUAGGAUAUAUACUUCUUCCCUAGGAAUGCAAUAAUACUGUGGAAAAGAUGUGCAGUAUUAACAUUUAGAUAGGUAUCAUGGGAAAAAUGAAGCUUAAAAUUUACCCAGAGUGAAGAAAAAAGAGAAAAGGUUUUGGUUAAAUCUUAUCAGACUCACCACUAGUCCAUCAAUUCAGUCAGCUUGGGAGUGAUGUUACUUUUCAAGCUCUCAUGAAAAGACUUCCUGAUUUGUAAAGGAGGCAAAUUUAUUUAUGUAAAUUGACUAUUUGGCAGUACUUCUGCUUCUUUUAGUGUUUAGUCCCACCUCUGAUAAGACACGUCUAAUUUCAUUUCCAUUAAAAUGCAAUGAAAGCACAUUUAUGAAUUUAAUAAUUUCUUGCCUGAGUUUGAUAGGAGCAUUAAAGUUGUUAGCUAUGGACUGUUGUUAAUAAAUAUUGCUUUUUUAAUUAAAGUAGACUAAGAGUCACUGGCCAAUAAUUUUUUUCUACAGAUUAUGAAAAAAAAAAGAAUCGGUAAAAGAAAUAGCAAUUUGCCGAAGGGUUUGUUUAAUUGGACAUUCCUGCUUAUCUCAUUGUCAAAUUAUUUUUAAACCUAAGCCUUUCUAUAUAAUUUAAAUGUUGCUUUACUUUGUUUUGCAUAGCUUAUUCAUCAUCUUCCUGAAAGGAACGUGAAGAAAAUAUGAAUUUAGGCCUUGUAACAUAGCUUGGAAAGAGAAAACUGACAUUAUGAAUUUUUCUUUUUUCUUUCAGAAGGCUUUCUUAAACACUUACUUUUUUUGCUCAUAAUUUUUUACACUUUUAUAUGAACUGCCUAUAUAAAUAUCAAUGUUUCUGAUAACUUAGUAUGCCUCCUGGGUCCAUAGCCUUCCUGAUGAAGUAGUAUUUAGCUGAAGAUUUUUUGCAUAAUCUGCCUAGUAAACAACUAUUUGUUCUUUAACAAAAAAAGGAAAAUAUAUGCAAAAAUUAGAAAAAAAAUAAAGAAAUACAAAAGGAUUUAAAGAUUAUGAGAAUCACUGGUAAAAGAACUGAUUUUGAUUUCCUGUUCCUGCCUAAAUUAAGUUUCUGACUCAUCCUUGUUCUGCAAAAAAUGAAUUUACCUUUUUUAAUCACUUAAAAUCACGAUUAAAUUGAUAGAUCAGAUGAGAUAAACAAGUUUUGUGGUACAAAGAGGUGUAUCUUUUGGGGCAAAAUACUGAGAAAAUUUAUAUACAAACCAGAAACAGUGGGUUGCAUGAAUUUAAAGUGCUAAAACAAUAUGUCUACAACUUAGAGUUUCUUAGGCAUAAUUACUUAAAAUACAUAAAUCCUGAAUUUACAGGUUCUUAAUUUCCCUGACAGAAUACUGCCACACCUCUUAGUCAAGUCUAGCAUAUACCAUAUCUAAUGGUCAAAAAUGAAGUGUGGAUUGCAUGUAACAAACCUGUACAUGUACCCCCUGAAUCCAAAUUAGAAUAAAAUCGAGUUAGGAAAAAAACAAUACAACAAUUAAAAAUAAUACAACUAUUUACAUAACAUGUACAUUUAAUAGGUAUUAUAAGUAAUUCUAGAAAUGUUUUAAAGUAGUGUGUACAGGAGGAUGUGGCUCGGUUAUGUGAAAUUAAAUAAUUCAGAUUUAAAGUUGUUGGAACUUUAAAUUAUUCUGAGCCUUGAGAGGAAUGUGGCAAUGUAGCCUGAGUCACUUAGGCAUGCAGCUGCAACUUCUGUAAAUAAUUGGGAAGACCAAGUGGCCCAAUCAAAUCAUUGUAACUGGUCUUGUAUGGAAAAUAUAAUCCUGCUAAACUUUUCUGUCUCUGUCUGUAUAACUACUACCUUAACCUCUCUAACUUGUAACACUGACCUCAUUCAUUUGGAGUCUGUGUUUCCUGGGUGUCUGUCCUCAAGCUUUGCACUCAAAUAAGCUAUAUGCAUAAAAUAAAAAAAAGUAAUAAAGGAAUAUGGAUGUGAAUGUAAAAUAUCAUCUGGUAUCAAACGAUUCUGAAUGCCUAAAUAUGACUGGAACUUCCAGUUUAAUUGAAAUAUUUUGGGUCUAUUAAUAAACGUGUAAACUU